GAGAGGGAGGACAGGAGAGGAGAGGAGAGGAGAGAGAGAAGUGUGUGUGAGUGGCGUGGAGGAUUCAGGCGUGUAGGUCAGACGUCAGUGUGGAGAGAGGAAGAAAGAGAGACAGAGAGAGAAAGAGAGAGAGAGACAGAGAGACAGAGAGAGAGAGAGACAGAGAGAGAGAGAGAGAGAGACAGAGAGAGUUACUGCAGAAGAGACAGAAGCAAUUAACGGAACAAAGACAGAGAGAGAAUCCAUGUUCGCUGAACAGAGAAGGGCAGAAUAGAUAAGGUGUGUGUGUGUGUGUGUGUGUGUGUGUGUGUGUGUGUGUGUGUUUGUGUGUGUGAUUCUUAUCCUGGACUACUGUAACCUGUAUGGUGGAUCCCUCGGAGCACGGAGUCUUCACACACACAUGACUCUCCAGUAGGAUUCUCCAGCAGAUCUACAGACAUGGAAGUCCAGCUGGAGGAGUUGAGGCAGAAGCUGCAGCAGCAGUGUGAGCUGACCCAGAGGCUUCAGACCGAGAACCAGAACCUGGAACGGCAAAUUCAAAAGAAAGAGAACGAACUCCAGGAGCUCCAGAAUCGCUUUGAUGACCUGGUCCCAGAAUGCAGUUCUCAGAGGAACAGUU